rnacentral:rRNA from 1 species
UACGGAGGGAGCUAGCGUUGUUCGGAAUUACUGGGCGUAAAGCGCGCGUAGGCGGCUUUGUAAGUUAAAGGUGAAAGCCUGGAGCUCAACUUCAGAAUUGCCUUUAAGACUGCAUCGCUUGAAUCCGGGAGAGGUGAGUGGAAUUCCGAGUGUAGAGGUGAAAUUCGUAGAUAUUCGGAAGAACACCAGUGGCGAAGGCGGCUCACUGGACCGGCAUUGACGCUGAGGUGCGAAAGCGUGGGGAGCAAACAGG